GACAGAGGUGCCGAGCGUUAGGCGGAAUCACUGGGCUUAAAGCGUGUGUAGGCGGGUCGUUAAGGGCCUUGUGAAAUCCCACGGCUCAACCGUGGAACUGCUGGGCAUACUGCCGAUCUUGAGCCAGCUAGGGGCAACCGGAACAAACGGUGGAGCGGUGAAAUGCGUAGAUAUCGUUUGGAACGCCAAUGGUGAAAACAGGUUGCUGGGGCUGUGCUGACGCUGAGACACGAAAGCCAGGGGAGCGAACGGG
rnacentral:rRNA from 1 species